rnacentral:rRNA from 1 species
UACGAAGGGGACUAGCGUUGUUCGGAUUUACUGGGCGUAAAGCGCGCGUAGGCGGAUCGCUAAGUCAGGGGUGAAAUCCCAGGGCUCAACCCUGGAACUGCCUUUGAUACUGACGGUCUGGAGAUCGGGAGAGGUUGGUGGAAUUCCGAGUGUAGAGGUGAAAUUCGUAGAUAUUCGGGGGAACACCAGAAGCGAAGGCGGCCAACUGGCCCGAUACUGACGCUGAGGCGCGAAAGCGUGGGGAGCAAACGGG